AUACUUACCUGGACGGGGUCUAUAGACGAUCAAUAAGGUCUAUGGCCUAGGUUGUUGGCCUCAAUUGCACUUCUGAGAUGCAACAGCCUAAGGUCUCCCCAAGUGGGAGAGUCUACGUCGUAAUUUGUGAUAGCGGGGGCCUGCGUUCGCGCGGCCCCUUU